UUAUCUCUGUAGAGUCUGCAUAUCAAUAAGCGGAGGAAAAGAAACUAACUAGGAUUCCCUUCAGUAACGGCGAGUGAAGCGGGAAGAGCUCAAAUUUGAAAUCUUCAAGGUUCUACCUUGACGAAUUGUAGUUUAUAAGAAGUGUUUUCUGUUGGUGUUUUGGCUAAAAGUUCUUUGGAAUAGGACAUCAUAGAGGGUGAGAAUCCCGUAUUUGUACCAUUCCUCCUAGCGUUGUGAUACACUUUCAACGAGUCGGAUUGUUUGGGAAUGCAGUCCAAAAUGGGUGGUAAAUUUCAUCUAAAGCUAAAUAUUGGCGAGAGACCGAUAGCGAACAAGUACCGUGAGGGAAAGAUGAAAAGAACUUUGAAAAGAGAGUUAAACAGUACGUGAAAUUGUCAAAAGGGAAGCGUUUGACACCAGUGUUGUUUUCUCGAAAAUCAAUUACGAAUGUUUUGUUUUUGAGGAGUUAUGACUUCAUCGGCUUGCUCCUUUCUUUACGAAGCUUUCUUAAUGCACUUUUCGGUUAACAAGUCAACAUCAAUUUCUUUUGUUGUAAAAGGGUAUGAGGAAGGUGGCUUUCUUUUCGGAGAAAGUGUUUAUAGCCUUGUACCUCUGCAAUCGGAGAGAUUGAGGUCUGCAGCGUAGAUCCUUCGGGGUUAAGAUACAUUUGUGCUAAGCUAUAGCCUUUCAUAGACAACUUGUUGACUAUGAUCAGUCAUGUAGCUUACUCGCUUAUGCUAUUUUACCUACGCUUAGGAUGUUGAUGUGAUACUGCGAGCA
rnacentral:rRNA from 1 species